rnacentral:rRNA from 1 species
GACGAACGCUGGCGGCGCGCUUAACACAUGCAAGUCGAACGGAAAGGCCUGCUUUCCCUUGUGGAUUGCGGGUACUCGAGUGGCGAACGGGUGAGUAACACGUGAGUGAUCUGCCCCCAACUUGGGUAUAAGCCUGGGAAACUGGGUCUAAUUCCCGAUAGGACUGCAGGGUGGUGCCUGCGGUGGAAAACGAUUUUCUAGUGGUUGGGGAUGAGCUCGCGGCCUAUCGGCUUGUUGGUGGGGUAAUGGCCUACCAAGGCGGCGACGGGUAGCCGGCCUGAGAGGGUGGACGGCCACAUUGGGACUGAGAUACGGCCCAGACUCCUACGGGAGGCAGCAGUGGGGAAUAUUACACAAUGGGCGGAAGCCUGAUGCAGCGACGCCGCGUGGGGGAUGACGGCCUUCGGGUUGUAAACUCCUUUCGACCGCGAGGAAGCCACCUGGUUGGAAGGGUGGUGACGGUAGUGGUAGAAGAAGCACCGGCUAACUACGUG